UACGGGGGGGGCAAGCGUUGUUCGGAAUUACUGGGCGUAAAGGGUUUGUAGGUGGCUUGUUAAGUCAGACGUGAAAUCCCUCAGCUUAACUGGGGAACUGCGUCUGAUACUGGCGAGCUUGAGUGCAGGAGAGGAACGCGGAAUUCCAGGUGUAGCGGUGAAAUGCGUAGAUAUCUGGAGGAACACCGGUGGCGAAGGCGGCGUUCUGGACUGCAACUGACACUGAAAAACGAAAGCCAGGGGAGCGAACAGG
rnacentral:rRNA from 1 species